UGGGAUGGUUGAGUAUCUCGCCUCUCAGUUCUGCCUGUAUUCUACCCUUGUUUGUCAUAUACUAUUAUUUCCUCGGCAGGCUUGCCUGCCGAGUGAAACCAUUUAUAACCUUUUUAAUUUUCAAUCAGCGUCUGAAAAAAUUAAUAAUUACAACUUUCAACAACGGAUCUCUUGGUUCUGGCAUCGAUGAAGAACGCAGCGAAAUGCGAUAAGUAGUGUGAAUUGCAGAAUUCAGUGAAUCAUCGAAUCUUUGAACGCACAUUGCGCCCCUUGGUAUUCCAUGGGGCAUGCCUGUUCGAGCGUCAUUUGUACCUUCAAGCUUUGCUUGGUGUUGGGUGUUUGUCCCGAGGGACUCGCCUUAAAGUAAUUGGCAGCCAGUGUUUGGUUUUGAAGCGCAGCACAAGUCGCGAUUCAAGGCUACACGCCCGCUUCCACAAGCCUUUUUUCACUUUUGACCUCGGAUCAGGUAGGGAUACCCGCUGAACUUAAGCAUAUCAAUAAGCCCGGAGGAA
rnacentral:rRNA from 1 species